rnacentral:misc_RNA from 1 species
GUGGGAUUACAUUUGCAGAAUAUACAGUCACUGGGGCUUCUGUUAUGUGGAUUGUACACCAAAUAGUUAUUUGAUGAGCCAUAUAACAAAUGGAAACACUAAUUAAAAAGAAAAACAAAAACGCAUUGAAGCCCCAAGGUGAAAAUUUGAGCACCUAAUUCAUAAAACACAGCAAUUCAUUGAUCUCUUUAUCUACCUGUGGCCGCCUAAAACUUCAGAUUUACCCUUGAAUGAUAGAUCCAUGGAUAGUCCUAUUGUGGAUGGAUUGAAGGGGUGGUAUAAACUUCCAAGGAGGAGCCAUCUGGGGGUCUUCUUUAUUGGUUUUCUUCCUUCUGGAAGAGGCCCCGAUGGUCCCAACACUUCUAAUGGAUGUCGAUGACUUUGAAGUGAAUAUUGAUGAGCUGAAAGAAGUAUUGGGAGCAUCAAAUGAUACAGGGCCUUUAUGUGAUGCAUCUAUAGGAUGUCCAACUGCUGCAUCCUGAUGGGGAGGUGGAAAUUUCUCAC